rnacentral:lncRNA from 1 species
GUUGCUGUAUUCGGUUUUAAAUUAUUCGUUCGAUUUUGCAGGGCUUCAAUACGUCCCGAUCCAAAUUAGGUUGUAUGUAUCAUGAAACUCAAAGGGGGGCACACGCAACUAUCGAGACCAAAAGGAAAAAAAGAAAGGAAAGAAAACACGGGCCCGCACGCUACGAUAAUCACUCAAUUGAGGACCACAUCGGACCAAAGUUUAUUCGGACAACACUUCAUAUGGGCUCGCGAAGGAAGCAAGUACGGUAAUUUUACGAGACAUUUCCCGGAACCACCAUCAUAUUCGCGAAACCACAGAUCGCCUUGGCGGAGCGCUUACUGGAUCAGGACUACUGGGUGGAUAGACCAGUCUGGAAUCAGACUGGGAUAAUCCAGACUGGGUUUCAUGGACUUAGCCUACGGUAAGGCUUUCGCUCCGCAGGAGAAAUUGGGAUGGCUCUCGCUCCGGAUAAUUUCGCUCCGGAUAAUUUCGCUCCCGAGGAAAAAGAGGUUUCACGGAUUUCGCCUCCCGAUAAUUCGGGACGGAAUCCAGACGAAAAAGAGGUUUCAUGGAUUUCGCCUCCGGAUAAUCCAGGAUGGCCUUGAACAUCACGGACGCCUUCUCUCUCAUGGCCCCGAUCAUUUCCUCCUCGGUGAUAUCCCCUUGGCCAACGGUGAAGUACCUGCCCGCGUACUUACAGACCGAGCCACCUUCCAGGGGCAACGCAACGAUCUUCACCUCAUGGCUGGUUUCCUUGGAGAUUCUGCCUGCUCAUCACGAUCGACGGUCGAGUGGUUGUAGAGGAAGGGCUCCUGGUCCGGCGCUUUAACCGUGUGUCUCACCGUCCUGCGCUGUCUG